rnacentral:rRNA from 1 species
UACGUAGGGCGCAAGCGUUGUCCGGAAUUAUUGGGCGUAAAGAGCUCGUAGGCGGCUUGUCGCGUCGAUUGUGAAAGCCCGGGGCUUAACUCCGGGUCUGCAGUCGAUACGGGCAGGCUAGAGUGUGGUAGGGGAGAUCGGAAUUCCUGGUGUAGCGGUGAAAUGCGCAGAUAUCAGGAGGAACACCGGUGGCGAAGGCGGAUCUCUGGGCCAAUACUGACGCUGAGGUGCGAAAGCGUGGGGAGCAAACAGG